UCUGCAAGCGAGACAAGUAGAAAAUGAAUUUUAAUGAAUGUUUUGAUGAUUUGGGUGCUAAAAUAGAUGAGAGAUGUCAAUAGUUUGGUCCAAAUGGAUGUUUUAGGUGGUUUUGGACUGUUCCGGAUGGGUGGGGGACCUGGUAUGGACAAGUAAGGGUAAAAUUUCCAACAAAUCUUAAAUGUAAAUAUUAUUAUGUCCAUAGAUUGAAGUUUCAGGUAGAGAGCAAGAUGAAAAAUAUGCCAAAUUACAUGCAUGCAACCCAUUUAUGCCAUUUUUCUCUUUGUUUGUAGGCCUGACCAUUUGUCCUUGAGCCGUAGAUGGUCAACAAUCCGCUAGCUGUCUUGCUCUGACUGGUACACUGGACAUGAUUUCAAUAGUCAGCCAGACCAUGAUUGAGCUUAAGGAUUGUGCUGCGGAUGCAGCCUGUGCAGUUCCGGGAGAAAGUCACUGUCUUGGGCAAUGCGGUCUGGUAUCAGGUCUGGAUGAUCCUUGCCUGACUGCGGGUUUGUGUGCACCUCAAUCCGACUCGGUGUCCUGAACAGAGGCCGCAGUUUUGCAGCGCUUGUGGACGAUCCAUCAACAUCCUGAAAGGUCAACACUUCACCAAGCUGGGAAAAUUGAUCCUGAUAGUCAUCCCCAGGUAGUGGAAUGAAUGUACUCUGAACUACAGAGGAAUCACACCCAAAUGACUUUCCUGCCACGACAUAAGUGUGGCCACUCGCGUAGGAAUUCCUUAGCAAACAUGCUCUUUUGCAUGGUGACUGUGGGCAUUUUUGCAAAACUUAAGCUUUCAACACUGGAUUUUAAAGAGAAUACUUAAUAAAAUGUCGCUAACAGGACUUAUUUUUAUGAGAGAGACUAUCUGGAUGCGCAUUAAGUGUCACUUUGUGUCGUAAGCUGUUGAAGGAGCGAUUUGCGCCUUUUUAAGUGUUAAUUUUAGGUAGCAGGCUUGUAUCGGCUUGAAAGCUGCAAAUUAUGCCUCU